rnacentral:RNase_P_RNA from 1 species
CCAGGGGGCCGGGCAGCCGCGGGCGGAGCGAUCCGUCCGAGGAAAGUCCGGGCUCCACGAAACGAGGGUGGCGGGUAACGCCCGCCGGCAUCGGACCGUCGGUCCGGCGUCAGGGACAGUGCCACAGAGAGCAGACGGCUGGCCUUCGGGCCGGUCACGGUGAAAGGGUGCGGUAAGAGCGCACCGCGCGCGCCGGCAAUGGCCGCGGCAUGGCAAACCCCACCCGGAGCAAGGCCGCAUAGGGGCCUCGCGCCUCAGAAAGAGGCAGGGGCGUUUCGCCCCGAGAGGCCCGGGUUGGCUGCUCGAGCCAUGGAGCGAUCCAUGGCCCAGAUGAAUGGCUGCCCCCGCGGCGCCGGUCGGAAACGAUACCGGUCGCGGGACAGAACCCGGCUUACAGGCCCCCUGGCAUC